rnacentral:sRNA from 1 species
UUGCAUUUGGGGCCAGUGAGGAUGAGAACCUCCGGGGGCAGGAGGUUCGACUCGAGCGAAGCGAGAGAACGUUGCGUCAGCAACGGCCCGCAGGGCGAGCCACGAAGUGGUGAGUCAUCCUCUAUCACCGACCA